rnacentral:tRNA from 1 species
AGGGCUGUAGCUCAAUUGGUAGAGCACCGGUCUCCAAAACCGGGGGCUGCGAGUUCGAGUCUCGCCGGCCCUG